CCCUUAGAUGUUCUGGGCUGCACGCGCGCUACACUGAAGCGUUCAACGAGUAUUCACCUUGCCCGGGAGGGUUGGGUAAUCUUUUGAAAACGCUUCGUGAUGGGGAUAGAUUAUUGCAAUUAUUAAUCUUCAACGAGGAAUUCCUAGUAAGCGCGAGUCAUCAGCUCGCGUUGAUUACGCCCCUGCCCUUUGUACACACCGCCCGUCGCUACUACCGAUUGAAUGGUUUAGUGAGAUCUCCGGAUUGGCACCAUCGAGGCUUCACGGCCUUGACGGAAAGUCGAAAAGUUGCUCAAACUUGAUCAUUUAGAGGAAGUAAAAGUCGUAACA
rnacentral:rRNA from 1 species